GGGCGGGGCUACAGGCUUGUGGGCGGUGCUUGUGAUCUGUGGGCGGUGCUUCUGAUCUGUGGGCGGGGCUACAGGCUUGUGGGCGGUGCUUCAGACCUGUGGGCGGGGCUACAGUGUAAUGGGCGGUGCUUCAUACCUGUGGGCGGGGCUACAGGGGUGUAGGCGGUGCUUCUGACCUUUGGGCGGGGCUACAGGCUUGUGGGUGGUGCUUUGGAGGGGUGGCCUUGGCGUGGUGGGCGUGGCUAUGCAAAUGUGCCGCUGUUCUAAUUAGCGUUUCUCUUCCCCCAGCAUGCUGCAGCCCGUGCCGAAGGCGGAGCCCCGCGCCGUCCUCCUCCUCAACACCCCCCGCCCCACGCAUGGGGGGCUGCCCCUCGGCCCCGCCCCCCUCCUCGUUAGCCCCGCCCCUUCCGCUUCGAGCCCCGCCCCCUCCACCAUCACCGUGGCGACGGCCGGCGUGGCUGUGGGGAACCCCGGGGGGGGGCAGGGGGUGACGAGCAACACCCAGGGGGUGACGGUGACCCCCCAGGGGGUGACGCUGACCCCGCAGGGGGUGACGCUGACCAACCAAGGGGUGACGUUGACCCCCCAGGGGGUGACGGGGGCGGCACAAGGGGUGACGGUGACCCCCCAGGGGGUGGCCAUGAGCAGCCAAGGCCUGACGGUGACGCCGGUGGGGGUGGCCCUGACCAGCCAAGGCUUGACCUUGGGCACCCAGGGGGUGACGGUGACCCCCAUGACGCCCACCGGGGUCACCCUGGCGGCGCCCGGGGUGACGGUGACCCCCACAGCGGUGACGGUGACCCCCACGGCCCCGCAGGCGCUGGGCUUGGGGUUGGGAUUGACGUUGGCCCCGCCCCGGGCCACGCCCCCUGCGACUCUAUUGGCUACGCCUGCUUCUGGCCCCGCCCACGCCCCGCCCCCAGGCUCUCAGCCCCGCCCCCCGGCUCCGAGCCCCGCCCCCUCGAAGCCAGGCUCCGCCCCUUUGGCCGCCUUUGCUCUUCCUGUUCCCGGAGCGCAGCGCCUCCUGCUGGCCCCCGAGCUCACGGCCCGCCUGCCCUGUGAGUCCCAAAAUCGCCCUUUUUCACCCCAAAAUCCCAUUACCCAUUA
rnacentral:lncRNA from 1 species